rnacentral:misc_RNA from 1 species
GGGGAAGCUGCGGGAGAGGCCGCCGAUGGCCUUGCAGGUGAGCUUGCCGGUGGGGGGGUCGUCGACGGCGAUCUCGUGGAGGGUGACCCAGAUGAGGAGCUCCUUGGCCUUGACGCCGGUGAUCUUGCGGAGGCGGCCCUUCUCGGCGACGGCGGAGACCUCGGCGGCGUAGCUGACGUGGCGGCCGGCCUUGGCGAAGAAGUGGUCCACCUUCCGCCGCUGCUUCAGCCACACGAACCCGGUCUCCUCCACGUAGCCGCACUCGAUGAUGUCGCGGAGAGGGAGGAGGCCGCUGGGGAGCCCCGUCUCCUCCAGCAGCAGCCGCGUCUUCUCCUGCCCGGCCUCGUCGCCGACGUACACCUCCGCCUUCGCCCGCACGUCGUCCGGGAUCGUCAGCGUCAUCGUCGCCGGCGCCGGAGAA